AAAAACAGAUGCUAAUACCGAUAAAAGACUACUUUCGCAUGAAAGAAGUUUAAAAGGACGGCGUAAAGCUGUCGCUAAAAGGGAUGGGACCUGCGAUGCAUUAGCUAGUUGGUAAGGUAACGGGCGUUACCAAGGCGAUGAUGCAUAGCCCGAGUUGAGAGACUGAUCGGCCACAUUGGGGACUGAGACACGGGCCCAAACUCCUACGGGAGGCAGCAGUAGGGAAUCUUCCACAAUGGACGAAAGUCUGAUGGAGCAAACGCCGCGUGAGUGAAGAAGGUUUUCGGAUCGUAAAGCUCUGUUGUUGGUGAAGAAGGAUAGAGGUAGUAACUGGCCCUUUAUUUGACGGUAAUCAACCAGAAAGUCACGGGCUAACUACGUGCCAGCAGCCGCGGUAAAU
rnacentral:rRNA from 1 species